UACGUAGGGGGCUAGCGUUGUCCGGAUUUAUUGGGCGUAAAGAGCGUGUAGGCGGCCAGAUAGGUCUGCUGUGAAAACUCGAGGCUCAACCUCGAGCUGUCGGCGGAAACCAUUUGGCUAGAGUCCGGAAGAGGAGAGUGGAAUUCCUGGUGUAGCGGUGGAAUGCGCAGAUAUCAGGAGGAACACCGAUGGCGAAGGCAGGUCUCUGGGCCGCAACUGACGCUGAGGAGCGAAAGCAUGGGGAGCGAACAGG
rnacentral:rRNA from 1 species